AAUGAACGUUGGCGGCGUGGAUUAGGCAUGCAAGUCGAGCGAGAACCGGUUUCGGCCGGGGACAGCGGCGAACGGCGUAGUAAUGCAUCGGAACGUACCCUCUGGUCGGGGAUAGCUACGGGAAACUGUAGGUAAUACCCGGUGAUCUCUGCGGAGCAAAGGUGAGAUUCCGCCGGAGGAGCGGCUGAUGUGAUAUUAGCUAGUUGGUGGGGUAAUGGCCUACCAAGGCGAUGAUGUCUAGGGGGUGUGAGAGCAUGGCCCCCACGACCGGAACUGAGAUACUGUCCGGACACCUACGGGUGGCUGCAGUCGAGAAUCUUCCGCAAUGGACGAAAGUCUGACGGAGCGACGCCGCGUGCGGGAUGAAGGCCCUUGGGUUGUAAACCGCUGUCAGAGGGGAUGAAAUCUUCGGAGGUACUCCUCCGAAGUUGACAGAGCCUCAAAGGAAGCACGGGCUAAGUACGUGCCAGCCGCCGCCGUAAGAC
rnacentral:rRNA from 1 species